rnacentral:rRNA from 1 species
CGGCAGGCCUAACACAUGCAAGUCGAAUGGGUAACAGGAAACAGCUUGCUGUUCGCUGACGAGUGGCGGACGGGUGAGUAAUGUCUGGGAAACUGCCUGAUGAGGGGGAUAACUACUGGAAACGGUAGCUAAUACCGCAUAACGUCGCAAGGACCAAAGAGGGGGACCUUCGGGCCUCUUGCCAUCAGAUGUGCCCAGAUGGGAUUAGCUAGUAGGUGGGGUAACGGCUCACCUAGGCGACGAUCCCUAGCUGGUCUGAGAGGAUGACCAGCCACACUGGAACUGAGACACGGUCCAGACUCCUACGGGAGGCAGCAGUGGGGAAUAUUGCACAAUGGGCGCAAGCCUGAUGCAGCCAUGCCCGCGUGUAUGAAGAAGGCCUUCGGGUUGUAAAGUACUUUCAGCGGGGAGGAAGGGAGUAAAGUUAAUACCUUUGCUCAUUGACGUUACCCGCAGAAGAAGCACCGGCUAACUCCGUG